AAGGGGGGGGGAGGAAGAAAAUGGGGGGGGUGGGUAAAUGGGAGGGAAGAAGGGGAGCGCUCACGCUGAGUCCAUGCUUGUCCCGCACUCUGCUCUUCACAGUGGCCCCCUUUGGCCCCCCAGCACCCAUGAAGUUGUCCCCCCAAAGUGUAAUUCAACAGGAGCCCCCUUGGCAAAACUCAGCAGUCCUGUGGCUAAACACUGUAUCCCAUUCGCUCUGUGCUCUCAGCACGCACCCUGCCUUCACCCCUUCCUGGAGUCCUUCCCUCCCUUGGCCUGGGCUUGGGGGCAGGGAGGGGUCAGGAUUAUGUGCCUGGUCUUUCCCAGAAACCAUUUGAUAAUUUUUUUACAGCUGAGAUAUUUUUGAGCAGGUUUUGAUUUUUAUUAGAUCUUUUUGAUAACAAAAAAUAGGUGUUUCUUAUAACAAAUGAAACAAUGUAACUAUAAAUGAAAAACAAUAGUUCUUCCCCCAAUCCUGCCUCACAUGAUUAACAAUGGCCUGGUUAUUCCUUCAGUCAUUCAAAUAUAUAUGUAAUAUCACUACAUAUAUAUAUGUAGUGUGAUCACAAUAUAUGGCAUGUGUUUUGGAUACACAAGCUUAAAUAUCACAUAGUUACUCUUAUAUGAGAAACCCAAAACAUACAGAACAAUAUGAUAGGAGGGAGAUAGAUGUUCUGCAAAUGAGAAGGGGGACCAAGCAAUGUGAGGAGGGAAGAUUAAAAAAAAAAUUAAGAUGUGUUGUGUACGUGUCCCAACUCUACGUGGGGAAUGUGACCAUUAGGUACUGCAAACAUGUAUUAGUAAAAGGUUAAAAAACACUUACAGAAAAAUACCACCCCCCAGCUUUGAACACUUAUCAUUCUUGCCACUUUCUGAAGUGGUUCUGGAAGUCCUCUUUCCCGAGUGACUUUAUCAGGUGUGAUUAAAAAAAAAUAGUGUGGGGCCGGGGAUUUAGCUCAGUGGUUCCAGCUCCUGCUUUGCAAGUACAAGGUCAUGAGUUUGAUCCCCAGUGCCCCCCCAAAAAACUCAAUGAAUGCUGGUGCUGAAUGCUAUCCAACAGAAAGAUAGGCUCACAAAAAAUACAUUAUGCUGUGUCCUCACCCAUCUUCUUCACUAGAUCUGGCACUGUGCAGCUUCUGGCUCUUUUCUAAAGUCAAAAUGACCAUGAAAGGAAAACGUUUUGAAAAAGAUUCAGGAUGUGGAAGCAGCCACAACAGCCAACUAAAGACACCCAGGAAAGAGGACUUCAGACCUGCUUCAGAACAGUAGGACAAGUGUGUUUGAAGCAAAGUGACAUAUUGUGAGGGGGAUUAAUAGCAAUAUGUCUUUGCUGUAAUGCUUUUUAAAAUUUGCAUAUUAGCCACAUUUUUUGAUCACACUGCAUGUACUUUUUUGGUACCAGGGAUUGAACUUGGGACCUUUUGAGGCAGGCAACGGCACCACUGAGCUAAGUCCCCAGCCCCACACUGCACAUCUUAAAGCUAACGUUUUCUUUUAAUGUCAUGGAAUUUAGUAUAGAUGCCAAAAUCUCCAGAGUGGCUACCAAAAUGCCAAGCAUAACUGUCACGUUCCCCACGACCAAUCCCAUCUGCAGAUGGAGGGACCAGGCGGUGGUGGAGCUGGGGCCCCAAAGCACACUGGCUGGUCACACUUGUGCCUGCUGCCCUGCCCUCCUCCUAGGGGCAGACUCUGGGGCUGGCCUGAAGAAGGGCUGGAGAAAAUGAUUCUUAUUCUCUGGCAGGUAUAUUUUCCCCAAGCACCUGGAUUUUAAAGGGGCAGAUGCUGCCUUUUUGAAGCAUGAGACAAAGAUCAAGUAGAUGAAUCUCAGGGGUGGUUUCCUGCUUUCCAUUUCCUUUGAAGUUACUGGGAAUAAUGGGGUUAGGAUCUGUGGGUUAGGGUAUGGGGAAGCCCCCCAGGUUGAGGCACUGAGGCCUGGGGUGGAGCCACAGAGAGGGGCCUGGCCCAGCUUUGGGGCCUCUUCACAUUGGACAUUUCCCCCUCAGGCUCCUGCCAAAGCCCUGAUUUUUUGUUUUACUUUCCCCCCUCCUUGCUCUUUAUUUCUGAAAUUUCUAUUUGAAGCUAAGAGAUUUCUUCCAUCUAAACUCAAGACAGCUACAGUAAGCCAGGAUUAACUCUCCCUUCAACCUUUGAGAAAUGGUCUCAGGAUAGGGGCAAGGAUGUUUAGUUUGCCAGGGAGUAAUAAGCAUCUGAGGUUACUCAUCAGUCCCUUAGGUGAAAACCCAGGAGGCUGCCAGAACCAGCCAGCACCUCCUGUCCUGGCCCUCAGGUUGCUCAUGGCUCAAAUGAUAGUGUUUUCUUUGCCCCUCAAGGUCUGACAGGCAUUGCUUGUCUUCUAUUUCCUAGUUGCAAGGUAUUUUUUUCAAUUUGGAACAUGUGUUCUAAUUUGAAAACGAAUGAGUUUUCUUCAGUAAAACUUGCCACCUUUCAAAGAGGUUUGCUCUAACCCAAGCUUAGACACUAGUGGCCAGAGCCAGAGGUUUGGGUGGAGAUGGGCCUGCUGGCUGUGUGCCCCCACUUUGGACUCCACCAUCUUUGGGCCCACCAUGGCCUGGUUAUGACACACACAUGGCCUUGCCCACCACGGAUCUGGAGCCACUUCUGCCAAAGACUGGAGGAAUAAGAAAAGCCAGUCCAGCCUGUUGGAUCAGUAACACAGAUAAGCAAGAGUAAGAAAGCUGUCCGUUCCUGAGUAAAAACACCAAAGCUCCACAACCCCCUGUACCUUCACAACACUGCAGAGUAAGCCAUGGCCCCCAAUUGUACCCCGAGGAUGCUGCUGCCCUAGGUAGCAACACUGCCAGCAGCCUCUACCCAAGGUAGAAAUGACUGUCAUCUACUCGUUUCAGGAGAGCAACGGGGUCCCCCAAGAAAUUAAGGUCUUUUUCAAAAUAGCAUUCUGGGGUCCCUUUUUGAACCUCUGUAGCUGUCAAUUCUACAUGGCUCUGCGGGGCUGGGAUGAAGCCCGGUGGGAUUAAGGAGACUUGGAGAUGUUUUAGAAUAAGCAGCUUCCGACUAUUAGUAACUUCACACCUACGGCUAAGGCUCAACCCUCCCUGCCCCCUUUCUUAGCCCAAAAGGACAUGAUCAUUCUGUUGUGGGUGUGAAGCAGCAGGUGCACCCAUCUGUGCUUCUACACAGAAUAGGACCACACACCCUCUCCAUCCCCACCAAGCCCCCGAAGGAAGUGUAUGACUCAUGGAUGCCUAUAGAAGUGUUAUCAGCCUGCGCACACAUGUGUGUGCCUGUACAUGUGUAUGUGUGUCUACAAACACAUGUAGAUGCAUAUCCUCUCUUCCUACUGAUUCUGCUCCACAAAUUUUUGCCAAAUCUGAUAACCAUGCUUUUUCAGUUCUGUCCCAUCCAGGUCUUCAGGUACAUGACUUUCAAAAAUCAUAAGAACAAAAGUCAACUUAUUUAACCUCGACAGUUAUAGGCUAGAGAGCCACUGUUUCCAGCUGUCCUUGUUGGCCCAGACCUCUCCAGGGUAUCCCCCUCCCAGAGUUCCCCAGAACCACACCGUCAACCAGCACGCACGGCAGGACAGCCAGCUCCCAGGGUUCCUUCUGGGUUGUGUUAUAAAGUCUGGCAGAGACAUCAACACAUGUCAACAUGUUCCUUUUGGUGACAUGUUUGUCUUUUCCUUGUUAGCUUUGGUUCAAGGCUGUAAAUCCAUAAGAGGAAGCGGUUUCCAAGCCUAAGCAAAAAGUGAGCAGAUGCACUUCAUGGACUUUGGGGUUUCUCUGUGCAGAUCUUCCCCUCCAUCACUUACCUCCCCAUUAUUUUUCUUAGAAAUCCAAAUAAAAAGGAUAUUUGGUGAUCAAAGUGAAUUCAACAGGCAGGGCAUGAAUGGAUACAAACCACCAAGCUCCCAGUGAGCUAUGUCUAUGGUCAGAUGUUGAUGAGAUCCAUCCUGGUCCCCAUAUUUGUUGCCUCUGAAGGGAUUGGAUCCUUCUCUCUGCUUUUUCAUCUGAGCCUCUGCAGUUCUCUUGUUCUUUGCUCUGUUCUGUCUCUGCUCUGGUUUGAACCCUGCUAUGUCAGCUCUCUUGUCUCCUUUUUAUUAUUCAAACCGUCUUUGAGCUGUUGGCAUUAGUUCUGCAGGGUGCCUGGGAGGGAAUUCUGAAAGCUCCAAAAUGGUCCCCCUCUACCUCCAGUGGAAGAGGAGGACCCAGGAAACCCAGCAAAACAAGUCCGGUUUUAUUGGUUCUUCCUCUGAGUAAAAAACUGCUCAAGUUUUGAACAAAUUCGUAUACAGCAUAAACACUUAUCCAGAGUUAAAUCUAAAUCCAUCCAGGCAGUUUCAUGUUGACAAAAGGUAAGGAUUUACCAUGUUAGGGUAUCCAAAAGAAUUUGCCAUAGACUCUGAAGAAAUUUAAAGCAGAAGACUGCACAUGGCAGGGAAGAGCAUGUGACACAGGUGACCAGGUUCUGACCCACAACUGAUUCUGGGCACCUGUGAACAAGUUACUACAUCACUAGGAGCUCUAGUCUUCACCUUCACCUUGGACAUCAUCUCCUGGCUUCCAGUGCUGAUUCUUCAGCUUCUGGUGCAGAGCCUUCAGCCUUCCACUGCAGACCCAUCGACCUCCGGAUUCAGACUCACACAGAACACUGCAGUGAGCUCCAGACCUUCGACUGAAUCCUUCGGUCUCCAGUGUGCAGACAGACCCCCUGCACUCUUCCACAUCCGACUCUGUGGGUGGUCAUUGUAAGCCGAUCUUGCAAAUUCUUAAAUAUUUGUAUAUCUUGUGUUAUAUCUGUUUCACUAGUAAACACUGACUGAUACAAAUUUUGGUACUGGGAGUGGCACUAGAAAAACAGAAUUGUAAAGAUGAAAUUCUUUAAUGGCUUUAGGGGUUCCUGGAGUUGGUGCUCUAAUUUGAUGACACCUAAAGACGCCAUGGUCUCCUAAUUCUAUGGGGAACACUGACAGUCCUUGAUGUAAACUGUUUAAAGUAAUAUGCAGUGAAGUUCCAUUGGAUUAUCCUGAUUUGAGUAGGAUUUGAUUACCACUUUUAGCAACUCCAUUUUUGGCAGAGUGGGAAACAUAAUGAUGCUGGCUGGUUGGUCUUACCAUCUCUGGACAAACUAGUGAAGGAAAGCAGUGACUUCAAAACAUCCAUAGGAAAUCUAAAUUCUUUUGACUGGGACAAAUUAAAAAUAAAGGAGUCCAAAGAUUUAAAUUUCUUAUGUGUCUGACGCUGGGAAUUUAAAAGUUUCUAAUCGUGUCCUGAAAGAAAAUCCCCUCUCUUUUUUAGCUGCAGGGCUGAGAUUCCAGAAACUCAAACACAGGCCCUCAUAAUUCAAUUGGCUGAACUGCAGUGUAAGUUUAAUGCUCAGCUUCAAAGGGCAUCUGAAGCAAAGGUGAGGGCACUGAUUGGAAAAUAAUGGGAUCCCAUAAAAUGAGACCCAGAGAUGUUUGAGAGGAAUCCUGAUGAAGCUGAGGAUGUUGUGUUUCUAGAGGCUAAUGAGAUUAUUUUGCAAGAGAAAAAGAUUUACCCACUGACAGUGGUGGAGGCACCCCUACCCCUUGUGGUGCUGGCCUCUCCUAGUAUACCUGAGGACACUAAGCCUGUGUUGACCAAGCAUGAUAAUGCCAACGCUCCUCAGAACCCACCUUCGCCACCCACGUUUGCCUCUAGUCCUGUAAUCAGGCUCAAGUCAGAAGGGUCCUAAGGGUGAGGUCCAUAGUGUGACCCAUGAGGGAGGAUGUCUGCUGUUCUCCCAAAGAACUUCUUGAGUUUUCUAACUCUUAUAACCAGAGGCCUCCUGAACAAGUUACAGGUGUAGGAUAAUGGUGGCAAAACUAUACACUUGGACCAGGCUGAGUUUGUUGAUAUGGCCCGGUCAAGCAGGGAUCCUGAAUUUAAUCUUGUGGCUCGUGGAGUAAAGAAAGGUGUUAGUAGUGUAUUUGGCUUGCUGGCGGAAAUAUAGAUCAAAAGGUGGCCCACUGUGAAUGAGUUAGAGAUGCCCGAUAUGCCAUGGUUUUCUGUUGAUGAGGGGAUUCCAGAGGCUCAGGGAAAUGAGAAUGCUGGAGUGGUUCUGUCAUGUUAAACCCAAUCCUCCACACUGGGGUGAUCCAGAAAAUGUACCCUUCACUAACAUCUUGAGAAACAGAUUUGUGAGGAGAGCACUGGCACCCCUGAAGAGCCCUGUCAUUGCUCUUCUCUGCGUGCCAGGCCUUACAGUGGGGACCGAGGUUACUCAAUUGGGACAUUUAAGGGCAAUGGCUUGACUGGAUCCUGGAGUGAGAGAGGGCCAAGUGGCAGCACUUAAUCACCGAAGGCAGCAAUAGACAACAGAAGCAGAACGAUGUCCAGAAUGGUCUGACACGUCUAGACGUAUGGCAUUGGCUGAUCAACCAUGUGUUCCCAAUUUACUAGAUUUAUAUAAUUGAAAAAAUUAAAGGGCAAAUGAACACAAACCUACUUCAAGUCAUGGUAACAAGGAAUUAUGACCCCUCAACCAGUUCCCAAAUUUGAGCCAGUUUAUGCCCUCUUUGAGAAAUGUCCAAAAAUGGGAUGAAUAAGAGAGCCCAAAGUCCUAGAUCUUAUCCUUUGAAACCUUCAAUUCUACAGUAAGGGCAUCAUUUGGUCAUGGAACCGAGGACAAAUGACCUUCAGAGAUGACUGAAUAUCUGCUUUUACCAAUGGGAAAUCCUCACGGGCAUUGUGAGCAUCAUUUGUUACACAGAAUCAUGGACAGGGAAGGAAGACACUUUGCCCUGAGUUAAAGGUUGUACAUUUUCUGGCACUUUAAAUAUUCUGGCCUCCCACGAAACAUGUCAAGCACAUGAAAGCAGUCUGAACCCCCUCUGCUGCCUUGGCUUCAAAUGAUUGCAGAUCUUUGCCAAAGACCGGCUCUCGACCACUCUCAACCUGCUGAUCACACCCUGGCUCUGCUCUCACAAGCUUAACUCCUGCUUUUGGUUCUGUGAUUGCUGUUUCCGACUUAGAGGAAGCAUCCUGGCUCAUAGAUCUCCUGGCUAGACCCACCCUCUCUCUUCAACCCUCCCUUCCUUCCCCUGGGCCUGUCACCGAGGAGGGGACUGGCUGAGAGUUGGCACUCCUCGUUGUCCUCUGAUGCUAUGUUCCCUCCUCCCCCACGAUGGCAGCAACUUAGCACAAAGAAAAGGAGCAAGUUAAUAUUUCCCACAAUCUGGGGGAGAAGGAAGGGUCUUUCUAGUUUGAUAAUGUUUGGAAACACUAGUUUUCAAGGUGUAAAUCAAUACAUCAUUAUUUAAUGACAGUCUAGAAUGGAGAAAGAUAAAUGACAUAAAAACCCUUAGAAUUUACUAUCUUGCUGCUAUUGUUACCACUGAUUAUUAAAGUUUUCAAAAAUCACAUCACAGGAUCUUACAAUCUUAAAAGAAUAAAAGUCCAGAGAUAAUGUAAUCUUCAUAAAUUAUUUUCAAGAGCCAUCCAAUUGUGUUAAGCUUUUGCAAAGUGCAUUAAAAUUCUAAUUCUUUCGAAAUGAAUUUGGAACAUUUACGAUGAACACACCAUAUUAUUUUGGUUGAUUUGGUCUACCUGUGAAAAAGCAAAGUAGUCCAGCCACUGAUUUAGAAUUAUGUGGAUGCCACCAGAAAAGUAAUCAAACUGAUAAUUUAAGGUUAUAAGAAUACCCUAAGAAAAGUAAUCAGCAACAUUGUCCACUUUUCAAUGAUUACACAAACACAAUUCUAUUAAGUCCAUCAACCAAAAAGGAAAAAAAAAUCUUUAUAUCUCUCUUCUCCAUUGUACUGGAAGGCUGGUAAAAAGAACCUCAGAAGAGAAAAGAAACAGCUAUUAAAAAGUUGAAUUCCUGUCUACACAGGGCCAAAACAUCUAGUGGCCCAGCUGUUUGGCACUGCAUAGACAAAGCAUCCAGAUGACUGGCUGAACGUGUGAAAAAAUUGCUGAAGUGGACCAGAUGUUUUGCUUCUCAGGGCUUUUGGGCCCCGUGGUCCUUGGAGACAUCAAGAGAAAGCACAUGUCCCCAUGGGACCUAUGACACCUGUGUAGUCCCUGGAGACCACAGUGGGGUCUCCAUUGCAAACCUCAAGGCCUACCAUAGGGAAAUCUAUGGGCAGGCACUGAGGGACACGAUGUGCUCUUUGAGCUCCCUGCUGUGGGAAGUCACUGAGUCACAUCUAUCUUGAGGCACUGUGGUUGAAUUUCCAAACAUUUCCCCUCGGGACUUUCUCUUGCAACCCAAGCUCCAGGCUCUCCUUUCCCAGCCCCAGUGCUGUGGGCUUUUUAUAGCCAACAGUCAAAGCUGAAAUCUAGAACUCUAUUUUUCUCCAUGUACCCCUUACCUACCCCUUUCUGUGUGUGCAAAGUGGGAAAGGGAAAAUCAGAAUCCUGCCCAGUGUCCUUCCACAACCGCCCCAAAGCCCAGCACUAGACACAACAAAACCAAGUGAGAAGGGACAUCCAGCCCCACAGGGCACAGACACCACGGGGCUGGAGCACACAGGGUUAGCAGCACUGGGAGGUGACUUGACAGGGUGGGUCAGAACCACAGAAUCGGGGGAGUCCAGUCCCACACAUUUCUUUGAAACGGUGUCUUAAGGAAACUGAGGCCAGCGGGCAGGGAGACCUCUCCCCAUCGUGUGAUUACUCAGCUCCCAACUGCAUCCCCCAAACAGCCUGGGCUUCCAGCAGAAAGCUGUGCUGUGCAAUUACUCUGUUAUAUAACUUUUGUUUUCAGAGAAGGGAUUUGUUUUGUUUCUUUUCUGGAAAGCAAUUUUUAAAGAUUUCCUUUAUGUCAAUGUUUUCGGAGGCCUUCCCUGGGACAGUGUGCUGUUUUUCUAAAAAGAAAAA
ensembl:lncRNA